rfam:Branchiostoma floridae genomic scaffold BRAFLscaffold_111, whole genome shotgun sequence.
GUGAUGAUGAUCCUUCUUACUCUGACACUUGUGAUGAACCACAAUGUCCUCUAAGAAGUACUGAACAU